GGGGAAUAUUGCGCAAUGGGGGAAACCCUGACGCAGCAAUACCGCGUGAGUGAAGAAGGUUUUCGGAUCGUAAAGCUCUGUUAUUGGGGAAGAAAAAAAGACGGUACCCAAGAAGAAAGUCCCGGCUAACUACGUGCCAGCAGCCGCGGUAAUACGUAGGGGGCGAGCGUUGUCCGGAAUGACUGGGCGUAAAGGGCGCGUAGGCGGCUUUUUAAGUUUGGAGUGAAAGUCCUGCUUUCAAGGUGGGAAUUGCUUUGAAAACUGGAGAGCUUGAGUGCGGAAGAGGUAAGUGGAAUUCCCAGUGUAGCGGUGAAAUGCGUAGAGAUUGGGAGGAACACCAGUGGCGAAGGCGACUUACUGGGCCGUAACUGACGCUGAGGCGCGAAAGCGUGGGGAGCAAACA
rnacentral:rRNA from 1 species